UGUUCCAGUGAUGAUCAUGGGCAGCUCUUGAGUUACAUGCAAUGAAUCCUACGUGUCUACAACUCUGAGGUUUAA